rnacentral:ncRNA from 1 species
CCGGGCGUUUCGUCGCCCGUAGUCUAUCAGUACAUGCGUUGCUGGUAACGGCAGGGUUUGAAGCCACCGAGACAAUGGAACCCCGGCGCAAGCCACGCUGAAGUCGUGAGACGGAUGCGCCUCUGCGAGUGUCAAUGCGGAGGGAGCC